rnacentral:rRNA from 1 species
CCGGGACCGCACGCGCAAUACAUUGAAGGAGGCAGCGUGUUGACCCUGUCCGAAAGGAUUGGGUUAUCCUGUGAAACUCCUUCGUGCUUGGGAUAGAGAUUUGAAACUGUCUCUCUUGAACGAGGAAUUCCCAGUAAGCACGAGUCAUAAUCUCAUGUUGACUGAGUCCCUGGCCCUUGUGCACACCGCCCGUCGCCAAGAGCGAUUGAAUGUGUUAGUGAGAUCGUCGGACAGGUCGCUGGUCUGGGCUCUAGGGUUCGGACCGGUGCGCCGGAAAGACGAUCGAACUUGUCCAUUUAGAGCACUUGAAAGUCGUAACAAGGUAACC